CACCAACCUCCAUCUCUAAGAGUAGACCAGGCUGACCAGGGCCCCAUCCAACCUGGCCUUGAACACCUCCAGGGAUGGACGGGGCAUCCACAGCCUCUCUGGGCAGCUGUUCCAGCACCUCAACACUCUCUCUGUACAGAAUUUCCCUGAUAUGCAACUUAAAUCUUCCCUCUCUCACAACAUAAAACCAUUUCCCCUUGUCCUGCCAUCAUCUACCCCUGUAAAGGGUUGACAGCCCUCCUGCUUGUAGUCUCCCUUUAGGUAUGGGAAGGCUGCAAUGAGGUCACCCCGCAGCCUUCCCUUCUCCAGGCUGAACAAGCCCAGCUCCCUCAGCCAGUCCUCAUACGGGAGGUGCUGCAGCCCUCCAAUCAUCUUUGUGGCCCUCCUCUGGACCCUCUCCAACAGCUCCCUGUCUUUCAUGUAUUGGGGUCCCAGACCCGGACACAGUUCUGCAGAUGGGGCUCCACGAGGGCAGAGUAGAGAGAGACAAUC
ensembl:lncRNA